CGCCCGAUGGCUGAAUAACAAGCCCAGGUCUUUUAAACCUGUCAUAGUAGUUAACUACUUCUGGUGA
rnacentral:tRNA from 1 species